rnacentral:rRNA from 1 species
CACGUAGGGUGCGAGCGUUGUCCGGAAUUAUUGGGCGUAAAGGGCGCGUAGGUGGCGACCCAAGUCUGUGGUGAAAGCUCGAUGCUUAACAUCGAGUCGGCCGCGGAAACUGGGUGGCUCGAGCACUGUAGGGGCAGAUGGAAUUCCGGGUGUAGCGGUGGAAUGCGUAGAGAUCCGGAAGAACACCGGUGGCGAAGGCGGUCUGCUGGGCAGUUGCUGACACUGAGGCGCGACAGCGUGGGGAGCAAACAGG